GGGCGUUUAGCGCAGUGGUAGCGCGCACCCUUCGCACCCUUCUAGAAUCGUGUGGGUGAGGUCGCCAGUUCAACUCUGGCAACGUCCA